UGGGCAACCUGCCCCUCUCUCUGGGAUAACCCCGGGAAACCGGAGCUAAUACCGGAUACUCCGGCUGGAUCGCAUGGUCCGGCCGGGAAAGGUCCGCCGGAGAGGGAUGGGCCCGCGGCCUAUCAGCUUGUUGGUGGGGUCAUGGCUCACCAAGGCGAUGACGGGUAGCUGGUCUGAGAGGACGACCAGCCACACUGGAACUGAGAUACGGUCCAGACUCCGUACGGGAGGCA
rnacentral:rRNA from 1 species